UCAUCAAACUACGCCUUUGUUUCUUUGUUUUGAAUAUGCGCCCUCCAGCAGCGAAAAGUUACAUGUUGUGCCUUUAAGUCUUUUAUACUUUCCAUUGCUGAUGUUACUCAUCGCUAAAAGACAUUAACCUUUUUGCAUAUCUUGCCUCUUUCUUGACCAGGUUUCUCCAUUGGCUCGUUUUGUUGAAAGCGGUAUGGACGUGUGCGCUUAGAGCCAGGCAGCCUCAAAAACAGAUGAAACCUUCUGACAGAUGACCUCGACAUAUUGAUAGAUAUUUACAGAUUACAGUGGGGUUAGUGCAUGAGUUAUUAUAUUUAUAUUGAGGGUUCUAUUAGGUGAAAAAGUUCCCACACACAUAAACUCUCAUUCUAUACAAAAAGGGGAAAAGGCUCGGUUUGGAAGUGAAAACGAUAGUAUUUAUACAAGAUUAAUACAAUAUCUCUGACAGUUUCAUACAGUUGUCCUCAAAUACUAUGCAAUGCCCUAGCGAUAUAUUAAUAAUCUCUCUUUAUUUCAUUCAUCUCGAAUGGUUGUUUCUAUUAUGGAGACAUACGAAAUGAAAAUCGCUUUGAUGGGAUUUCCUUCAGAUCUUUGCUAGUGAAUAAAACCUGCCGCAUUCUUUGUAAGACUAUCAAAUGAGUGUAAAUACUGCAACAUGUCUUCUAAUAGUUAUCAGGAUACCUCAUAUGAGCGCAGGCAUAUGAACUGGUGCAGAAUAUUUACCAUCCAAUCCUGGACACAAUGCCGAUUCACUAUUAGGCUACUAGACUUUAUGACAGCGUCUCUCAACUUACAUCCAUUUUACAACCAAAAACAAAAGAGUUGAACUAGAUUAGUCAUUAAAGGGCUAGAAAAGGUAGGUCAACUCACUGUUAUUGCCCUUCCAUUCUUCUGUCAGCUGUGUGUCAACAGUCUGCCCGCCAAAAAAAGCACGUGCCUCAGAGACCGCGGUUAUUCUAACCGUCGAAACCAUGGUUUUAAAAAAGGGGCAAUUCAUCUGAAUAAAGCUCAACUCCAAUUUCCAUAGUAGACCCCAUCAAAAAAAAUAAAAAAUUUAAACUUCUACACAAACCUCGUACAAUCCUCGGAACUGUAAUAAAUAAAUAAAUAUGUUCAUCGUGUCAAUAAAUUAACCCAUUAGCAAUAAUAAGUAAAAGCAAAUAAAUACGUAACAACUUCAAUGAUUCAAAAGAUAAAGUCCCACAAGGUAGUAAGAUUAAAAGUCUCAGGGGAUCUCGCCUUUAGCUGUGACCCCCCAUUAAACAGGUCACCAAGAAGAGAGAUCGACUGUCUGAGACACAGAGAUGGAGUGGCAGCACCACUGAGGGGAGCGAGAAACCCGGAUGGCGCUGGACAAAAGCGAAAAGACCCUGUCGCAGUGGCUCCUUAACCCCGUUCUUUCCCUUAAAUGUUUCGGUUCCUCUCUACCUUUCCCUGGAUAUGAGAGACAGCUCAAGCAGGCAGCGCACACCUUUGUCACUUCAAGAUAAACAGUUUUGGAUGAGACAUGGAAGCUAGUCUCACAGUUCAGUGGAGGAACAUGUUUUAUGUAUGUGUGGGGGCUGAUUCCUAUGUGUCAUGUUAUUUAAUGAAAUAUCUAGCCUCUGACCCACUGCGCUUUGUACAUUUUCCCUCUCGCUCAUCAGUCCAGGCCCGUUCCGACCUUUUCUUUCCGAUUUCCUUUUUUGUCUUCCAUGGCAAUGAUCCCUUUUCACCCCUCCAGAAAAAAA